GCGGCUGGGACGCGCAGGCCAGCUCCUCUGCGGACAGGAGCUCAGUCUCCUUAGGACUCGCUGGGCUUUCGGCUCCAGCACAAAGUGGGGCUGCGUCCACGCUGACGAGAACUGUGUUUCCUGACGACCCAGGCGACCCCGGGAGGAAAAGUUAAUUUUUACAGGGGUUAAGUGGAAGAAAUAGUCCUACUCUAUUUUUGGAUGUUUGAGAGCUGACACAAAGUUCAUUCCCCUCUUCUUCCUCUGCCCACUGCUGGGAAACCUGGUAAGAAGCACAGACAGCUUCUCCCUCCUUCGAUGCAGGUCUGAAGUGGAUUUCGUGGAAACAGCAUAUAUACUGAAAUAAUUCUUCUGCCAGAGAGGCAUAUUUUGGGGUGGCGUAUUCUACUCGCCUUGACAUGGAUGUACCUCCGUUUGCGUAUGCCUUCAUCUAUGGAAGGACAUUCUGAUUUCUUCAAGCUCUCAGCCGUUAUAAGUGGAGCUGCUGUGCAUAACGACAUCCUUGUUUGCAUUUGGACACAGAUGUUCACAGCAGCUGCCUGAAUCCUGGAAGCAAGAUUGCUGGAUCCCAAGUGAGCUGCUAGAUCUCCCCCAGUGAUAUGGAACAUUUUGCUACUACCUUUAACUUACCAGGACUUUCGGAAGUUAUUCCACAAACAUUAUAAGAUGUGAGAAAUUAAUGUAGAUAUUACGUGUCCAUGGAUGGACGAAUGGAGACGCAAAACGUGGUCCAUCCAUGCAAUGGAAUGUCAUUCAGCCUGAAAAGGAAGGCAGUUCUGACACAGGCUGCAGCACGGAUGCGCCUUGAGGGCACCAUGCUCGGUGACAGACGCCAGACACGACAGAACAGACAGUGCCUGAUCCAUGCGUCCAAGCCCCUCGAGCAGUCAGAGGCACAGGGACAGAAGGGACUUUUAUCCAGGAUAUGUGAAGAGCUCUCAAUAUGUGAUAAUAAGAGAACAAACAAUGCAACAGAAAAGGAUAACAUAUUUCAACAAACAUUUCAUUAAAGAAGCUAUUUGGAUUACAGAUAAGCUACAUGAAGAGAUUCUGAACAUUAUUUAUGAUUAAGGAAAUAGAAAUUAAAAUCAUAAUGAGAUGCUACUAUAGACAUAGUUGAUUAGCUAAAAUUUUAAAGAGAGCAUACUUAGUUUUGGUGAAGAUAUGGAGGAGCUGGAACUUUCAUACACUGCUGAUGGUCAUAUAAUAUGUUACAACCACUAUGAAAAGCAGCUUGGCAAUUUCUUAUAAACUUUUUUUUUUUUUUUACAUACCUUACUGUAUGACCCAGGCAUUGAAUGUGUAGGUUUUUUACCCGAGAUAAAUGAAAGCAUAUGACCAUAAAAGGACAUACAAGAAUGCUUACAGAAGCUUACUUUCUGAUGAUUAAACACUAGGAACACCCUAAAUACGUACCAGCAGGUACAUGGAUGAAGCAACAGGAGCACGUGGAUGCAGCACAGCCCUGCCUGAUAACAGACGUGAGGUCACAGCGUGGAUGCGUCUCAAAGAUACCGAACAAAAGUCAAACCAAAAGGAAGUAUGUGCUUCACGAUCCCAUUAUUUAAAAGUUGAGAACAUGCAAACAAAUCUGUAAUUCUAGAAGACAGAUCUGUGGCUGCCUGGGGAGUAACCUAAUCUUUAAUAUGUACUUGCAGCUUAUCAUUUCUGUUUAUUAAAAAGGGGGUCUCCCCAACAAAGUAGAAGGAGACCUGCUUCUCCCAGGGAAGCAAAGGAAUAGUUUCUACCAGUGAAAUCUCGAUACCGUGGCCGCUUCAGCCAUCGAGACUGACAACGACUCCCGUGAGCGGGGCACCGGGGCCACGACACUCAGAAGGAGGCUCCGGGACCUCGUCCCUGGGUCACUGCCUCUGAGGAGCUCCCCACCCCAAUCAGACUUUUCAGUCAUUCUGUGCGUGAUGCUCUUGCCUCGGUAGCUCUGGCACAGCUCGGCCGGCACCAUCUCCGGGAGAGAAAGAAGAAACGUGCAGAAGAGGGAAGCAGGGUUCAAGCUGACCCACCUCCUUCUAUGGAGACGAUGCCACAGUCCCUAAGAGAGGACGGCAAGGCCACGGAAUCCAGCCUCUCUGCCUGAGGCCUAACCACACGAGGGCCCCACGCUUGUGAGGCCACGGGGAGGAUUUCAUGAGGUGCCCUCAGACCACCUGGUUGAACACAACGGGGCUUUCAGACACGCAGGUCUUGCCAGACCCCACAGCUCUGGGGUCAGAUUCUGGAGGUGGGCCUGGAAGCUUCCAGUUUUUCACUUUUGAUACCAUCUAUAUAGAGAUUUAAUUUCCAUAAUGCAUGUUCACUCAUCUUAAGUAUAAAGCUCAGUGGUGGGUGCAUGUUCACAGGGCUGUACAACCACCAGCAGGUCCAUUUUACAGCAUUUGCAUCAUCUCCCCAAACCCCACCCUUUAGAGGUCAUCCCUCAUUUGCGGAGCCCCAGCACCACCCGGCCACUCUCUGUCUCUGCGGACGUGCCUGUGUGGACAGCUCGUGUAAGCGGAAUCAACUCACUGUCCUUGUGUGUCUGGCGUCUCUCACGGAGCCCCGUGUUUUCAAGGUUCAUGCACACUGUAGCCUGUGUCAUCGCGUCGCUGCCUUUCGUGGCUGAGUGACGGUCACCCUCUCUGCUUCCAACGCUGUAAUUUACUGUGCGUUCCUGCCCGCACUGCACAGGGCUGAUGGGACAGUCCCCUUCCAUCCUGCUCGGGGUGUAACCUGCACUUUUAACCAACACCCAGGGUCCUGUGCAGAGGCCGAAAGCCCAGCCCCACACAGGGCACAGUCCCCUGUGGGACCAGAGCCCAGGAGGAAGGGUGAGGUGGGCCUGCGUGUUUACAGGACCGGCGUCCUACGGUCUCAUGUGAAACCAACUCGCUGGUCAGUGUCCUGUGAGCGUUGCUCCCCAGGGCGCCAUGUGGGCAACACGGAACAGUCAGGGGCCACGGUGCUGCCUUCAGGUCAGGCCCGCUCGUGGCAGCUGUCUAGCUGGAAAGUGCUGAGGCAGGGUCCUUCCUGCCUCUUCCAGCUGCUGGGGCUCCAGGCUCCCCGGGCUUGUGGCUGCCUCCCUCCCACCUCUGCCUUCGUCUUCACGUGGCUUCCCCUCUGUGUCUGUGUCUCUGCUCAUCUUAUAAGGACACAGUCACAUGGGAUUUGGGCCACCAUAAUGCCCUGGUCUUACUUUCUUACACGACCAGGCCCUACUUCCAAAUGAGGUCACGUCCUGAGGCCCUGGGGUCAGGACGUGGACGUCUCUUUCCCUGGGUGGACACAAUUUCCCUUCACUCUGAGAUAGCAGAUAAUGUUGCCCAGAGAAGAAGCAAACCCCUUACCUAUGCCAGCCCCUCGAAGACGUCCAAGCCUGCCUGGUCGCUUGACCUGGACGGGAGAGUGCGGCUCGUGGCCCGAGUGUGAAGGAUGCCAGGAAGCUUCCGUGUGAGGCUCCCCUUCGCAGCUGCAGCCCUGGACGGGCUGAUGAGGUCCAGCAGGGCGACUCCGUCCUCCUUAUAGGACUCGACCCACGUGGUCUGGGGGCGACAGGCAGCGGUGAGCGGGUGUGUGAUUCCGUGUAUGUGGCGGGCCUGCAAGGAGCAGGUGAGCACAUGUGUGUGUGACAUCAGGCACAUGUGAUGGGUCAGUAGUGAGCACACGUGUGAUCAGGUGCAUGUGACAGGCCAGCGGGUACACACACAUGUGAUCAGGUGCACGUGGCAUCUUGGCACGCAGGGCUCCACAGGGCUGCCGUGCUGCCACGGGCUUGAGCCACUGACCCUGCCUGGUGUGGAGCACCCCUCCCCCGCCUCCCCACCCCCGUGUUCCUCCCCCACCACGCGCCCCAGCAGCUUCCAUGUCCCCUCCCAUGUCUCCCUGCAGUGGCUGCACCUGCACAGAGUACGUCCCCUGGGCAAGUACUUCUUUAAGAGGGUCACCUCCGUGGUGACGGCAGCCUUCCUCUUCUGCUGCUUCCCUGGGGGCUGCCCCCGCCCGUGGCUGCUCUGUGCCAAGGCAUCCGGGCCACAGAGGGGUGCUCCCUGUACCUGAGACCAAAGAGAAGGACUUGAGGGGCUGUGUUUUCCCCCUCUGGGAGCCAGAUGUCCAGUGGGGCCAGAGGGGGCAUGUCAGACACACACGGCCCAGGGCUGGACAUUCUGGUUCAUCUUCCCCCAACACGGUGGGUGAAAGAAAAGCCCUGUGGAACCUCAGAGCACGUAGGACAAGGCACGUGUCGAGGACCACCUCCCGACUGUCAAUUGGCCCAUUCCGUGUGCUCUCCUGUGAAAUGCUGUUCACGACCGGCCCAGUGUUCUGCUGGGCUGUGUGUGAUUGGGACAUACGUAUGGCUAGUGAUUAUUGGGUAAUUUUACACAUGUGUGUGUAUACAUCAACGCAUAUGUAUGUAGACAAAUGUGUAAUGUCAUGUAUCCACAACUAUAGUAACAUACAGGGUAUUUCUCUGCCCUAAAAAUCCUCUGUGCUCUGCCUGUUUGAUGCCCCCAGCCCCUGGCAACACUACCCUCUUACUGUCUUUGUAAUCCGCCCUCCCCAACGUGCCAUUUGGUUGGAAUCACACAGCACAUAGCGUCUUAGACUAACUUCCUGUUCUUUGUUUAUUUGAAAUUGUCUUUUCAUUCCACAUCACUCAGAGACUGUUAUUCCAGUGCAAUGGACUGUGAUGUCUGAAAGUCUCAUUGAUUACCCAGCAUAUCUAUGCUUAUAGAGAGAUAACUAAAUUUUUGUUCUAUUAACUAUGACCAUAAACUUCUGAGUUACAUUUAUUUUCUGAAUUAUUAUCAUAGUUAUAAGUACUUACAACUCAGUAAAACAGUAUAUAUAUAUGAUUACACAUUUUUAUAAUUAUUAAACAAAGACAAAUCCUUAUUUGAAACACAUCUUUUAAUAGAAUGAAUUUAACUUUUCCCUUUCAUUUUUUUAUGUGUAUUCAAGGAUGACCAUGACUAAUUGCUAGGAAGAGAAAAGAUUAAAUAAUUAGAUCCAUUCCUAGUUUGUAUUUUUUAGAUAUUAGC